rnacentral:rRNA from 1 species
AUGGCGUACAUGUGCGCCGACAGCGGCAACCUCAUGGCCAUCGCGCAGCAGGUGAUCCAGCAGCAGCAGCAGCACAACCAGCAGCAGCAGAGGCACCACCACCACCACCUCGUCCCGUCGCCGAUGCCGAUGCCGGCCGCCCCCGUGCCCCCGCACGCGCAGAUCCCGGGCUCGCUGCCGUUCGGCGCCGCGGGGUCCGCGGCCUGGCCCCAGGCCGAGAACUUCUUCUCCGACGUCUUCGGGGCGUCCGCCGCCGACGCCGUGUUCUCCGACCUCGCCGCCGGCACGGACUUCGACUCCGACGUGUGGAUGGAGAGCCUCAUAGGGGACGCCCCCGUGUUCCAGGACUCGGACCUCGACCGCCUCAUCUUCACCACGCCGCCCCCGCCCGUCGCGCCCCCGGCUGAAGCCGAGGACGCUGCCCCGCAGGUCGAGAAUGCGCCGGCCUCGCUCCCCACGGUUGCUGCCGCGGCGCAGGCGGCGUGUUCUUCCCCGGGCUCACCCGACGCGUCCUGCUCCGCCCCCAUCCUCCAGUCUCUCCUCGCCUGCUCCCGCGCCGCGGCGGCCAACCCAGCCCUCGCCGCCGCGGAACUCGCCAAGGUCCGUGCCGCUGCCACCGAGUCCGGGGACCCCGCGGAGCGCGUGGCCUUCUACUUCUCCGACGCGCUCGCUCGGCGCCUCCCCUGCGGCGGCGCGGCGUCCCUCGAGACGGCGUCCGACGCGCGGCUCGCCUCCGACGAGGUCACGCUCUGCUACAAGACACUCAACGACGCCUGCCCCUACUCCAAAUUCGCGCACCUCACCGCCAACCAGGCCAUCCUGGAGGCCACGGGCGCGGCGACCAAGAUCCACAUCGUUGACUUCGGCAUCGUGCAGGGCAUCCAGUGGGCGGCGCUCCUCCAGGCGCUGGCCACGCGGCCCGAGGGGAAGCCAUCUCGGAUUCGUAUCUCCGGCGUCCCCUCGCCAUACCUGGGGCCGCAGCCCGCGGCGUCCCUGGCCGCGACCAGCGCGCGUCUCCGUGACUUCGCGCAGCUUCUCGGGGUGGACUUCGAGUUCGUCCCGUUGCUCCGGCCGGUGCACGAGCUCGACCAGUCCGACUUCUCGGUCGACCCCGACGAGGUCGUGGCCGUCAACUUCAUGCUCCAGCUCUACCACCUGCUGGGCGACUCCGACGAGCCGGUGCGGCGAGUCCUCCGCCUCGCCAAAUCGCUCGGCCCGGCGGUGGUAACCCUCGGGGAGUACGAGGUGAGCCUGAACCGAGCCGGAUUCGUCGACCGGUUCGCCAGCGCGCUGAGCUACUACCGGGCGGUGUUCGAGUCGCUGGACGUGGCAAUGGCGCGGGACUCCGAGGACAGGGCGACGCUGGAGCGGUGCAUGUUCGGCGAGCGCAUCCGCAGGGCCGUCGGGCCGCCGGAGGGCGCCGACAGGACCGACAGGAUGGCCGGCAGCGCCGAGUGGCAGGCGCUCAUGGAGUGGUGCGGCUUCGAGCCCGUCCGGCUCAGCAACUACGCCGAGAGCCAGGCCGAGCUCUUGCUCUGGGACUACGACUCCAAGUACAAGUAUUCGCUCGUGGAGCUGCCGCCGGCGUUCCUCUCGCUCGCGUGGGAGAAGCGGCCUCUGCUCACCGUCUCUGCUUGGCGGUGA